GACAGAGGGUGCAAACGUUGUUCGGAAUUACUGGGCGUAAAGCGUGUGUAGGCGGUCCUCUAAGUCGGGUGUGAAAUCCCUGGGCUCAACCCAGGAAGUGCACUCGAAACUGGAGGGCUAGAGUAUCGGAGAGGUUGGUGGAAUUCUCGGUGUAGAGGUGAAAUUCGUAGAUAUCGAGAGGAACACCGGUGGCGAAGGCGGCCAACUGGACGAAUACUGACGCUGAGACACGAAAGCGUGGGGAGCAAACAG
rnacentral:rRNA from 1 species